CAAUUCUGUAAUGUAAGAUAGCUGAGAGUAUGAAAACUAGCGUCAUCUCAUGGAUACCUGGUACACUGGUGUGAGUGGUGGGAUUACAGUCACGGAUACCUGGUACAAUGGUGUUAACAGUGGGAUUAUAAUACCUGGUACACUGGUGUUAGAGGUGGGAUUACAGUCACGGAUACCUGGUACACUGGUGUGAGCGGUGGGAUUACAGUCACGGAUACCUGAUACAAUGGUGUGAGUGGUGGGAUUAGUCACUGAUACCUGGUACACUGGUGUGAGUGGUGGGAUUACAGUCACUGAUACCUGGUACAAUGGUGUUAACAGUGGGAUUAUAAUACCUGGUACACUGGUGUUAACAGUGGGAUUACAGUCACUGAUACCUGGUACACUGGUGUCAGGAGUGGGAU